AGGUUGACCUCGGAUCAGGUAGGUACCGACGCG
rnacentral:rRNA from 1 species